rnacentral:rRNA from 1 species
AGAUUGAACGCUGGCGGCAUGCCUAACACAUGCAAGUCGAACGGGAGUAGCAAUACUCUAGUGGCGGACGGGUGAGGAAUACGUAGGAAUUUGCCCUUAAGUGGGGGAUAACCCGGGGAAACCCGGAUUAAUACCGCAUGACCUCGAAAGAGCAAAGUGGGGGAUCGCAAGACCUCACGCUUUUGGAGAAGCCUACGUCGGAUUAGCUAGUUGGUGAGGUAAUGGCUCACCAAGGCGACGAUCCGUAACUGGUCUGAGAGGAUGAUCAGUCACACCGGAACUGAGACGCGGUCCGGACUCCUACGGGAGGCAGCAGUGGGGAAUAUUGGACAAUGGGCGCAAGCCUGAUCCAGCAAUGACCGCGUGUGUGAAGAAGGCCUUCGGUGUAAAGCACUUUAAGUUAGGGAAGAAAAACUACGACGUCUAACACAGUAGAGUACGUUGACGGUACCGACAGAAUAAGCGACCGCUAACUCUGUCGCCAGCAGCCGAC